UACGGGUGGCAGCAGUGGGGAAUAUUGGACAAUGGGCGAAAGCCUGAUCCAGCCAUGCCGCGUGUGUGAAGAAGGCCUUCGGGUUGUAAAGCACUUUCAGUGGGGAAGAAAGCCUUGGGGCUAAUACCCUCGAGGAAGGACAUCACCCACAGAAGAAGCACCGGCUAACUCCGUGCCAGCAGCCGCGGUAAUACGGAGGGUGCGAGCGUUAAUCGGAAUUACUGGGCGUAAAGCGCGCGUAGGCGGUCUGAUAAGCCGGUUGUGAAAGCCCCGGGCUCAACCUGGGAACGGCAUCCGGAACUGUCAGGCUAGAGUGCAGGAGAGGAAGGUAGAAUUCCCGGUGUAGCGGUGAAAUGCGUAGAGAUCGGGAGGAAUACCAGUGGCGAAGGCGGCCUUCUGGACUGACACUGACGCUGAGGUGCGAAAGCGUGGGUAGCAAACAGGAUUAGAUACCCUGGUAGUC
rnacentral:rRNA from 1 species